CGUGUAGGCGGUUGGUCAAGUCUGGCGUGAAAGCCCGGGGCUUAGCUCCGGAAGUGCGCUGGAAACUAGCUGACUUGAGCGCGAUAGAGGAGGGUGGAAUUCCUGGUGUAGCGGUGAAAUGCGUAGAUAUCAGGAGGAACACCGGCGGCGAAGGCGGCCCUCUGGAUCGUUGCUGACGCUGAGACGCGAAAGCGUGGGGGGCAAACAGGAUUAGAUACCCUGGUAGUCCACGCUGUAAACUAUGGGUAUUAGGUGUUCGGGGUGUUGACCCCCUGAGUGCCGGCGCUAACGCAUUAAGUACCCCGCCUGGGGACUACGGCCGCAAGGCUAAA
rnacentral:rRNA from 1 species